AUUGAACGCUGGCGGCAGGCCUAACACAUGCAAGUCGAACGGUAACAGGAAGCAGCUUGCUGCUUUGCUGACGAGUGGCGGACGGGUGAGUAAUGUCUGGGAAACUGCCUGAUGGAGGGGGAUAACUACUGGAAACGGUAGCUAAUACCGCAUAACGUCGCAAGACCAAAGAGGGGGACCUUAGGGCCUCUUGCCAUCGGAUGUGCCCAGAUGGGAUUAGCUAGUAGGUGGGGUAACGGCUCACCUAGGCGACGAUCCCUAGCUGGUCUGAGAGGAUGACCAGCCACACUGGAACUGAGACACGGUCCAGACUCCUACGGGAGGUAGCAGUGGGGAAUAUUGCACAAUGGGCGCAAGCCUGAUGCAGCCAUGCCGCGUGUAUGAAGAAGGCCUUCGGGUUGUAAAGUACUUUCAGCGGGGAGGAAGGGAGUAAAGUUAAUACCUUUGCUCAUUGACGUUACCCGCAGAAGAAGCACCGGCUAACUCCGUG
rnacentral:rRNA from 1 species